CCUGUCUCGUCUUUCCUCCAAGCUAUACAUGUUAAGAUCAUUUAACCUUUCCUGGUAAGUUUUAUCCCGCAAUCCAUGAACCAGUUUAGUAGCCCUUCUCUGAACCCUCUCUAAGGUAUCAAUAUCCUUCUGAAGAUACGGUCUCCAGUACUGUGUACAAUAUUCCAAGUGAGGUCUCACCAGUGUUCUGUACAAUGGUAUGAGCACUUCCCUCUUUCUACU